GGGGGAUAACCUGGGGAAACCCAGGCUAAUACCGCAUACGUCCUACGGGAGAAAGCGGGGGCUCUUCGGMCCUUAUAGAUGGACCCGCGCCGUAUUAGCUAGUUGGUAAGGUAACGGCUUACCAAGGCAACGAUACGUAGCCGACCUGAGAGGGUGAUCGGCCACACUGGAACUGAGACACGGUCCAGACUCCUACGGGAGGCAGCAGUAGGGAAUCUUCCGCAAUGGGCGAAAGCCUGACGGAGCAACGCCGCGUGAGUGAUGAAGGUCUUCGGAUCGUAAAACUCUGUUAUUAGGGAAGAACAAAUGUGUAAGUAACUAUGCACGUACUUGACGGUACCUAAAUCAGAAAGCCACGGCUAACUACGGUGCCAGCAGCCGCGGUAAUACGUAGGGGCAAGCGUUAUCCGGAAUUAUUGGGCGUAAAGCGCGCGUAGGCGGUUUCUUAAGUCUGAUGUGAAAGCCCACGGCUUCAACCGUGGAGGGUCAUUGGAAACUGGGAAACUUGAGUGCAGAAGAGGAAAGUGGAAUUCCAUGUGUAGCGGUGAAAUGCGCAGAGAUAUGGAGGAACACCAGUGGCGAAGGCGACUUUCUGGUCUGUAACUGACGCUGAUGUGCGAAAGCGUGGGGAUCAAACAGGAUUAGAUACCCUGGUAGUCCACGCCGUAAACGAUGWSKRCUARSYGUUAGGGKSYYUYSRSSMCUUAGUGSYGCAGYUAACGCRWUAAGYMSWCCGCCUGGGGAGUACGRCCGCAAGGUURAAACUCAAAKGAAUUGACGGGGRCCCGCACAAGCGGUGGAGCAUGUGGUUUAAUUCGAWGCAACGCGAAGAACCUUACCWAMYCUUGACAUCCUKYGAMMMCKSWAGAGAUWSMGSSKUCSCCUUCGGGRGACRMAGWGACAGGUGSUGCAUGGCUGUCGUCAGCUCGUGUUGUGAAAUGUUGGGUUAAGUCCCGUAACGAGCGCAACCCUUGUCCCUAUUUGCCAGCGAUUCGGUCGGGAACUCUAGGGAGACUGCCGGUGACAAACCGGAGGAAAGGUGGGGACCGACGUUCAAAGGUCAUCAUGGGCCCCUUAACGGGGUAGGGGCUACAACCACCGUGCUACAAUGGGCCCGGUACAAAGGGGUUUGCGAAAG
rnacentral:rRNA from 1 species